CCUAAUCGAGAGAUAUAUCUGUCUUCAAUCACUGUUACACAUGAUUUGAAACACCUUGACAUGCUGCACUUUUG
ensembl:ncRNA C16E9.23 ncRNA